AGUGACUAUUGUUUUAAUUUACUUUUGAACUGUAUGAGAUACUUCAUAACUAAAAAUAAUUAUAUUUUCACACAGCCACCAAGUUGUGGAAAAUACUAAAAUGAUCCGAAAAUGAAUUCUGACCACACCAAAGUAACUUCAAGCUCUUAGGAUGACAAACUUAAUUAAAAUUGGUGCUUUUAAAAAAUAGCUAACUUCUCUAAAGUGUUAUUAGAGAUCCGAGACUGUUGAAAUUGCAUCCGGGAAACACUGUUGGACUCAUUCUGAUAUCUUGAACUCACUGCCAUUGUUAGAAUUCCUUUCCCAAAUAGACUGGUGCUCUCCAAGAAAGUUGUUCUUGGAGAUACUGGAAAGGACAUAAAAAAGUGACAUCACCUUUUGAUGCAACAUUGUCAAUUUGAGUGAAGCUAGGCAUCCGUGCUAGGUAAAAUUUCGUGUUGUUUAAGCCUUUUUCACAUAUAAUGCAGAAUUGUUUGGCAACUUCACCUUUUUUUUCAACUUUUUCUGUUAUUUGCUGCUCCAAGCCUCUUGGUUCUGUCCUUCAAAGGUGCAAUUAUGCUUCUGUUCUGCUGCUUUACUAAGUGCCCUUUGGACUGUUCCUUGUAUUAUGCUUGUGUGCUCUAAAUUUGCUGAAUCUGCCCUUUAAAUUAUGCUACGAGUGCCAUUCAAUAAGUCUAGAAUCUGCCGCUGAAUGCUCCCCCUGCAGUUGAAGAUUCUGCUUGUCAAAUGGGAUGAAGAAUGAUAGCAAAUCUUAACCUCUUAAUCACAUAACUGGUGUUUUGACAAUGUAGGUAGAAUCCCAAAAUCAGACCCUACUAGGCUAGGUCUGCCCUAAUCACUGAAAAAUUUGAGUUUCGCUAAUUUUCAGGGAUCUAACACUUAAUAAUGUAUCUAAAGAAACAUAAUGAAGAUCCAUCUUCUUUAAUAGUUACAAGGCAAAGUAGUGUUCUGUUUAAAGUUUGCAAUGCAUUAUGGCUAGAACAAUUACUUGGGAUUGGUUAUUAUACUAACAUGUUAAGCAGAUUGUAUAAAGUCUAUGAUGCAUUAUGGCUAGAAUAAUUAUUUGAGAUUGAUUAUACUACUACCGUGUUGAGUACAUUGCAGUUCAUUUUGUCAAACAUGCUUCUUUGUAUUUCAAAGAAACACAAUGAAAACCCAUGUUCGUUUACGACAGUAACAUAAGGUAGGGUUCUUAAUGGUCUAUGAUGCGUAGAGGCCAAAAUAAUAACAUGGUUGGCUAAGUUAAUAUUCUUUCAACCAGAUUGGCAAACACGCUGCUAUGCGUUUCAAAGAAACAUAAUGAACAUUCAGGUUCCUGUACGACUGUAAUGCUGCAGCUCAUUUUGUUGGACAUGCUUCUAUAUAUUUCAGAGAACCAUAAUGAAGAUCCAUGUUCUUUGAUGAUAGCAAGGAUAAUCAGUGACCUUUUAAGGUCUGUGAUGCAUUGCUGUCGUCCAUUACUAAUGGCAUUUUAGCUUUUAGGGUCCUUUUUAAUUUUGAAAUCUGAUUUAAAAAAAACACCUUACUAGGGUCGUCUUCUUCAGCUUAUGUGCAGUCAUAAAACUACACCAUGAUAUGUAGGGGCUCCACUAGUUUGGCCCUAUGAAUAUGUUGGGAAGUACAGAAUGGAUUACUAUCAUCUCAUUCAAUAUAUAAGCUGUAAUUUCUCCCAUCCUGGGUAAUGAUGCUGGGUCUUGAAAAGGAGAACAAAAUUUGAUCAAUGUGUAUAUGUUGGAGUGAAAUAUUGCUUGUAUUCACAAGAGAAUCUCAGAAAAUAAGGAAGUAUGGCAAAGGCCAAAAGUUAUAGGACGGCCUUCAUAUAAGAUUGACAUUAAUCUUUUCUUUAUAAGAUCAAAGAUUGUUUCCCCAAUAUUUCGAUUACAAAAUUAUUUUGAGAAAAUUGUAUCAAUUUGUCUAUUAUGAUAAUGAGUUAUUUUAAAUAUCCA